rnacentral:rRNA from 1 species
UGGGGAAUAUUGCACAAUGGGGGAAACCCUGAUGCAGCGACGCCGCGUGAAGGAAGAAGUAUCUCGGUAUGUAAACUUCUAUCAGCAGGGAAGAAAAUGACGGUACCUGACUAAGAAGCCCCGGCUAACUACGUGCCAGCAGCCGCGGUAAUACGUAGGGGGCGAAGCGUUAUCCGGAUUUACUGGGUGUAAAGGGAGCGUAGACGGAUCUGCAAGUCUGAUGUGAAAGGCAGGGGCUCAACCCUGCACGUGCAUUGGAAACUGUUGAUCUUGAGUACCGGAGGGGUAAGCGGAAUUCCUAGUGUAGCGGUGAAAUGCGUAGAUAUUAGGAGGAACACCAGUGGCGAAGGCGGCUUACUGGACGGUAACUGACGUUGAGGCUCGAAAGCGUGGGGAGCAAACAGGAUUAGAUACC